rnacentral:rRNA from 1 species
GAAGACUUAGGCAAAUCCGGGUCUUCAAUGCCGAGACGUGAUGACGGUGACUCUACGGAGUCCGAAGUGGUCGAUGCCAUGCUUCCAGGAAAAUCCUCUAAGCUUCAGCUACAAAGAAACCGUACUCUAAACCGACACAGGUGGGUAGGUAGAGAAUACCAAGGCGCUUGAGAGAACUCGGGUAAAGGAACUCGGCAAAAUG